UUGGCCCUGAAUCAAGGCCAGCAGUUUGUUGAAGCUAUUGGUUUUCAAGUGGGAGCCUAAAGAAAUGUCUUUCUAUGGUCUGUUGACCAUUUCAGAACUUAGGAAAUUCAUUAGAAAGAAACAUCU